CGGAGCCGCCGCCGGCGCCGCCACUGUUUGGAAGAUUUUUAGGGUUUUAAAUUUAGAAUAUUAAGGGGAGUUUGUUGAAGUGAGUUAUGGAAUUUUUGGAUGAGUUUUGGAUAGGUUUAUGAAUUUCCGAAGUGUGGUAUUUUUGGCGGUUAAUUAAUGUAGAAUCCGGCCGUAGGAUUUAAGUCGUAUUUUUGGGGAGGUUGUAAUUACGGCUGCUGAGUAUGAUAUUUAAGUUCGGAUCGUUUCGAUUUAAGAAUAUCGAAGUUAGGCAAUGAUGAGCGUAGUUAUGGCUCUCGGUUAAUUUUGCCUAUUUUGUUUAAAUAUUGGAGUUUUAGUUGGGAAAUUAAUUUUAUAUUUGUGCCAGGGUUCGAGGAAACCUCUCUGGAGCGGUGAUUUGGAUUUCGUCGGGCUUAUGCCUAGAGUUGUGAGUGGACUUUUGUUUUAAAUAAUAUGCAUGCUACGGUUCAUGAAUGAACAAUUAAUGUCAUGGAGCAUUUUGACGUCAUUUUAAUUUUUGACAAUCUUAUUUCUCUUGGAGAGUUACCGAAAAUGGGAUUUUCGGUGGAUAUAAAUAUGUAUUUAUGAGAGAGAGUAUGUAUAUAAAAUGCUAGCUAGCCAUAUGUGUCUGUCCACCUUAAUGGCGUAGCAUAUAGCCGCAUUAUGGUGUGACGUGAGCGUUGGACGUGAGCGUAGUAGCCCUAUAUGAUUGUUUAAUUCAUAUAGGGGGUAUGAGCACAUAUUUAUACACCCGUCUGUCCACCUUAAUGGCGUAGUGUAGCACCGCGUUAUGGCGUGACAUGAGCGUUGGACGCGAGCGUAGUAGCCCUAUAUAGACCCAUGAAUUUAUAUAGGGAGUAUGGACGUGUGUAAAUACAUACAUAUAUUAUAGAGCCUGAGAGGCUCGACAUUUAUGAGAUAAAAGUUUUAUCGCUUGCAGCAUGCAUUCGAUUUUUCUUGGAAAUUGAUUUGGGGAAACAUAAAUAUUUUAUUCAUUAAUUUGUUUUUGUCCACUCACUCUAACGUGUUUCAAAUGUUUUCCCCUGGGCUCUUCGUUUUAAAAAUGCCCAGUUUGCAGGAUUGCAUAGUUGAGGUCGGGCGUACAUGGGGAUGAGACAUAGUCAUCAUAUAGCUUCCGCUUGUUAAUUUAUUAUGUUUUCUUUCUUCCUGUUAGAGUUGCUCUGAACCUAUAAAUGGUUGGAUAUGAGAUUUGUUUAGAUUAGUAAAUAAUUUGGGUGGUGUUGUGAUUUGGGGAGCACGGAGGCUCCAAGAGUUUAAGGUUGGAUUUAAAUUUUCAGAAGUGUUUGCAGGUAUUAUUAGGAAGGGUUGUCCAUUUUCAAGGGAGGUUAUGCCGAUUUUUCGGUAAAAUUUUCCUUGGAGUUGGUCCCCGCACGACUUACUCUGGAUUUCAGGGUGAAAUUUGGGGUGGGUCGUGUCACAUAU
rnacentral:lncRNA from 1 species